GAUGAACGCUGGCGGCGUGCCUAAUACAUGCAAGUCGAGCGAACGGACGAGAAGCUUGCUUUUCUGAUGUUAGCGGCGGACGGGUGAGUAACACGUGGAUAACCUACCUAUAAGACUGGGAUAACUUCGGGAAACCGGAGCUAAUACCGGAUAAUAUUUUGAACCGCAUGGUUCAAAAGUGAAGGACGGUCUUGCUGUCACUUAUAGAUGGAUCCGCGCUGCAUUAGCUAGUUGGUAAGGUAACGGCUUACCAAGGCAACGAUGCAUAGCCGACCUGAGAGGGUGAUCGGCCACACUGGAACUGAGACACGGUCCAGACUCCUACGGGAGGCAGCAGUAGGGAAUCUUCCGCAAUGGGCGAAAGCCUGACGGAGCAACGCCGCGUGAGUGAUGAAGGUCUUCGGAUCGUAAAACUCUGUUAUUAGGGAAGAACAUAUGUGUAAGUAACUGUGCACAUCUUGACGGUACCUAAUCAGAAAGCCACGGCUAACUACGUGCCAGCAGCUGCGGUAAUACGUAGGUGGCAAGCGUUAUCCGGAAUUAUUGGGCGUAAAGCGCGCGUAGGCGGUUUUUUAAGUCUGAUGUGAAAGCCCACGGCUCAACCGUGGAGGGUCAUUGGAAACUGGAAAACUUGAGUGCAGAAGAGGAAAGUGGAAUUCCAUGUGUAGCGGUGAAAUGCGCAGAGAUAUGGAGGAACACCAGUGGCGAAGGCGACUUUCUGGUCUGUAACUGACGCUGAUGUGCGAAAGCGUGGGGAUCAAACAGGAUUAGAUACCCUGGUAGUCCACGCCGUAAACGAUGAGUGCUAAGUGUUAGGGGGUUUCCGCCCCUUAGUGCUGCAGCUAACGCAUUAAGCACUCCGCCUGGGGAGUACGACCGCAAGGUUGAAACUCAAAGGAAUUGACGGGGACCCGCACAAGCGGUGGAGCAUGUGGUUUAAUUCAAAGCAACGCGAAGAACCUUACCAAAUCUUGACAUCCUUUGACAACUCUAGAGAUAGAGCCUUCCCCUUCGGGGGACAAAGUGACAGGUGGUGCAUGGUUGUCGUCAGCUCGUGUCGUGAGAUGUUGGGUUAAGUCCCGCAACGAGCGCAACCCUUAAGCUUAGUUGCCAUCAUUAAGUUGGGCACUCUAAGUUGACUGCCGGUGACAAACCGGAGGAAGGUGGGGAUGACGUCAAAUCAUCAUGCCCCUUAUGAUUUGGGCUACACACGUGCUACAAUGGACAAUACAAAGGGCAGCGAAACCGCGAGGUCAAGCAAAUCCCAUAAAGUUGUUCUCAGUUCGGAUUGUAGUCUGCAACUCGACUACAUGAAGCUGGAAUCGCUAGUAAUCGUAGAUCAGCAUGCUACGGUGAAUACGUUCCCGGGUCU
rnacentral:rRNA from 1 species